UUCUGGAAGUCGGCAUCUCCAGACAGGUGGGACCACCCCCCGCCAAUGUGUGGCUACCUAACUUGGUGAUGAUAAAUGUCUAUUACUUAUUCAUCUGUCCCAAUUAACCUUUAUUAUGUAGUGAAUCAGUAAGUCCAGCAUAAUUUCACCAUGUCAUUGUUUAACUAUUAUAGGCCACCUUCAAACUUAGUUUUAUGGUCCUAACAGUUUCAUCCAUUACCAGCCCCUGAGUGCACAUUUAAAACCAGGUAUUAUGUGUAUCUAGACUAAUGAUCCAUCCUGAGCCCAUAGGCAGCAAGAUUCUGUUACUAGGACUUCCUACAAUAAACCAGUAUCUAUUGAGCCACAGUUAUUGGAAAGAAGACAUUGCAUAAAUACCAAAUUAACCAAACAAAGAUUCUAGCAGAAAGCAAAAUACUAGCACAUCUUGAGAAAGCCCAUCCCAGGCAGCUUAGGAGCUAAUGGGCCAAAAAAUGACCAAUCUAAUCUAUGACUUGCUAAAAACAAUUUCAGCAAAUCCAACACCCAUACACUGUA
rnacentral:lncRNA from 1 species